UGUACAAUAUUGACGAGUUUCACGUUUCCGUUCUUCCGCCCGCAUUGAUCCUGGGGGCGUUCACCAACGGCCUGAGGAAAUGCGGGUGACUUCUGCUUUCGGAGCCUGCCCUGCACUCACUGUGCCACGCACCGAGAUGAUUGCGAGCUCUGCGUGGUGCGGCCCUACUCUGCUGCUGCUGCUCUUCUCCCCAGCCCUGUGGGCAGCGGAGAUUUCCUGCAGGAAUGAAGACGGGGAGGCAGUGGACUGGUUUGCUCUAUACAAGCUGCCAAAGCACACCAAAGGAGAUGGCACAGGGCUGGGCCUGGAAUACCUGUACAUGGACAGCCUAGCGCAGCAGUGGCAGCCUGGCAGGUACCUUGUGAACAUGACACAGGGUGCUUUGGGACAGACACUGGAGCAGCUCUACAAAGCAUACGAGUCCAAGAGGAACAACACUGUGUAUGCAAUCUAUAACGAUGAGGUCCCUCACUCAGGCCCCAUCAGCAAGAAAAGAGGACACACCAAAGGAUUUCUGCUCUUGGACAAAUCACAAGGCUUCUGGGUGAUCCACAGCGUGCCCUUGUUCCCCCCCUUUCCUGAGGAUGGCUAUGGUUACCCAGCCAGUGGGGAGUUCUACGGACAGACAGCCAUGUGCAUAACUUUCAUGUAUGAGCAGUUCAUAGAAAUAGACCAACAGAUGCUGAGCUCUAAUCCAGAAAUCUACAGCUGCUCCCUACCUGAUACCUUCCAAGCUGAUCUCCCAAACCUUCAAAAGCUCUGUGCAGGCUCCAGGCUGCCCUCACACCCCCUGCGCCGCCUCUCCAAGCUGCAGUCCGCACGUGGGGAAGCCUUUCUCCACUUUGCAAAGUCUAAUUCUUUUGUGGAUGAUAUCUAUGUGGCCUGGGUGGCUCAGGAACUGAAGACUGAUUUGUUGGCUGAAUCCUGGCAGCACUCUGGCCAAAAACUUCCCUCAAACUGCUCUCUCCAGUACUAUGUCUACAACAUAAAUCUCAUAGGGACGCCACUGAAUUCCACCUUCCCCUCAAUCCAGGAUCACUCCAAAUGGUCUGUUUCAAUGAAGGAUGAAGUUCAGUGGACCUGCAUUGGAGACUUAAACCGUGCUGUUGAGCAAGCUUGGAGGAGUGCACCACAUGUUCGUGACCUUACUGUACAGGAACAACAAGGAGUCCUUCACUGGAGUCAACUCAGGUGAGGUGCUCCAUGGUGCACCAGAGGGCACUGGGAUCUGCUCCACCACCUGUAUUUCCUAUGGGAGAUGCUCGGCCGCAAUGUUUGGCUCACAGAGCUCAACAGCAUGGAGUCUCCAUCCCCAGGCUGACACACUGGUGUGUCACAGUCCCGCUCCCCAGGCCUAUCCCUUGACUUUGAGUUCAUCUUUCAUUUUUACACAAGGUAAUUGGUGGCCAUUCUGCAUCUCCUGCAAAUCAGGUAAAAGCAAGGAACAUCUUUCCCCUCCUUUCACCAUUUUGCAGCCUAGGAGCUGCAAGCUAAAAAUUAAAUAUUCAAAGCUUUACCAGAGCAGGACAGAGUGUUCAGUGUGACCUGCUGGAGUGCUCAUGGUUGCUGCAAGCAGUUCACUGUAGUACACUUGUCCUAGCAUUGCAUAAUUUAUUAAUCAUAGAAAUUGUGCAUGCAAAUCAGCCACACAGUUGUGCAUCAUCAUAUACUAACCAGUAUAUUUGUUUUUACAUGCAUUAAAGCCCUCAGAUAAUAAUGUCGCAUUAUAGCAGUGCAGCUUUUCUCUGUCGCCUUCUGAAACCUGUCAAUUGUUUGCUAAAAGCCAUGUCAUUGGGCAUGCUGGGUUUUUGCCAUUGUUCCUAUACUUCUGACUCCCCAAAGUGUGACAGUAUUUAGCUCCAGGGCUUUUUCUGUGUCUGGAUUUUUACAGGUUUCCUUUUUGGGCUAAGGUUCUGUCAGCCAGAAAUCAAGAUUUCUAUAGUGCAGUUUUAAAACUGUAUUCUUGCACCUGUGUGUUUAUGUUCAACACCACUGCCCACCCAUUCACGCAGAGGAUUAAGAACACCAAGCUCAGUGCAUAUUUCAGAAACUGCUUCCUUCCCCUGGCAGCCGCUCCAUUGCUUAUACUGAUCUUGUAAAUCCUGGACAUUGCACAAGUUAAAUCUGUGUCUUCUCUUGCUUUCUAACUACUCUAAAUAAUUUUUUGCAUGAAAGUAAGAUUUUCAAGGGGAGAAUGAGAGAACUAACAAUUUUGCAUGAGACAUUUUGUGAGGAAAAAGCAUAGAAGAAACGUUGCGCAACAAAGACAGGCAGUUGCUGUAGUUUUGUUCCCUACUGCCCAGGAACCUGCCCUCCUCUUUUCUGCCAAAUAACAUGGAGAACCAGAGAAGUCAGAAUGGAGAGAACUCAGAGGAAAACUGAGAAGAGUGAAGAGGACAACAGAAGGCAAAAGCUUUAAUAAAGGAAUAGUUCUACUGCAACAAAGGAAAUGAGCAAGAAGAGAGAUGAGGACACAUCCUAAGUCCAUUAAUGGCAGUGGGAAUUUGCCUUCAUCUUCAGUGGGAACACGUUUUCAAAGACAUGGGAAUCGUCCAUACAAAAUGGAGGAUAAAAUCUGAACCUUCUGUGGUCUAUGACACAAACCAGAAGAGGGCCCCGACACGGUGGAAACAUCCCCAGCAGGAGUUUCACAGCCAGGCUUGACCACAGUCCUGUGUGUGGUGCUGGCUGCUGGGAUGGACGUCAUCACGGCCUCAGGCACAGGCAGUGUCUGUGGUAGAGCGCUCCCUGAGCCUGGGCCAGGCAGGAGCCAGGCAGAGAUGCAUCUCCUCUUGGUGAACACUGACCCUCAUGCUGAUUAUGGGUUUACUUUCAAUGCCCUACAUUUGGGAAGAUGAGCAGCGUGGACAGCAGGAAUCUUCCCCAGGGAGAUUCAAGAUCUUCAAGGGUACACACUGCCUGCUGAAUGGUGCAAAAAGCCAAAGAAGGAAAGUCCAGAUAAAGCAACCUUGUGAUUCCAAGCAUCUCUUCUUUUGGUACUGGCACUACACAGCAAAAUAGACAUUAAAAUAACAGAGUUGCCAUUCUUCUAGCAGAAACAUUCCUCUCCCUCUCAUCCCUUUGAUGUACUCCUUCUCCCACUCCCAGGAUUGCACUACAUCAGCUCACUGUGUGAUAGUGUGCACACCAGGACCUUGUUGUACUCUUGAAAGGUGAGUUCAUUUGCCCCACAAACACAUGGCCCCUGUAGUUCUGUUUGAGCUCUUUAAGAAAAAGUCCUCUAUUAUCCUUGAUUAUUGGUCACCAAAAUAUGUCUGAUAGGAUAGACCCUUCAAAAUAACCAAAUUUUGCAGAAAAUUUCUCAGAAAAAUGUUCUAUGGGAGUAUGCACCCUAAGGAAGAAGACUUCUUCAUAACAACUGAUCAAGUUAUGUUUCUUAUUGGAUCUGUGCGGCCAGUCCAUUGCAGUUCUCAUAAAGAAAAAAAUUAUAAGUAUUUGCUCAAGAACCUCUUUAAAAGAAAUACAUUUACCAUGUGCUAAUAUGUCUGUGUUCUACAUGGCACUGAUUUUCAGUCCCUUUAAGAGAGUCACAGAUAUCACUAAACAAUGCAAGUUCAUGCAUAUUUUCUAGAUAUUACAUUUCUCAAGGAAGCCCAUGCCUCUAUUGGAAAACUAAAAGAAAUUUCAAAAGCUGUGACUUUUUUGCAAGUCAGAAUUUUAUUCCUAUGUCAAAAUAUCAAUUUUUAUUUGAUUUUUUGAGAGCUUUGCCAAAGAUUCUUCGGGAACAGACAGCUUAUGGUUUCAGUUCUUUUUUUUUCCCCCCAAGAAAAUGCAGUAUUUCUUUAAUACUAAACUCCAUUGGUUUUCAGUGCCCUAACUUUUAACUAUCACCUUGUAUAAAAUCAGUGUAAGAAAUGAGAAAUGUGGUUUAACUGCUUUUAAAAUCAUGUAGUAGUGCUAUUAGGUUUUGUGGGAUUAGUUUGAUAGUCCAAGUAAAAUAACUGUCAGCUAGACAGAUAGUGCAAUAAAGGUGAAACACACUAUUGCCAAUAAGAAAGUAAUCUUUAUUUCAUGGUCCCAGACUCCUACCAUACCAGCACAGCACUUUGUGGGAUUGAGUGGCACUCACCAACAUAACACUGCUGAGCACAAACAACUUGAUUAGAUUAGUUAAACCAAUGUGGUAGAGGCAAAGUGGAACUGAGCAGCUUUGUGGCCCUUAUCAAGUAUAAUAGAAGUACAGCUUCUUCUCUAUACAAGGGAAAUUUCACAUGUUAGGGCUAACAGCAUUCGGAGCAAGUCCACUGUAAUUUCAGUGUAGCAUUGGAUGAAGCAUGACAAUAAGUUCAGUCAAGUAAAAAACUGGGAGAGUUAAACUCUUGACAAAUUUACAAAAGCACUGCACAAAUUCUUGUGUGUACUUGUGCAAGGUAUUGAGCAGAAAAGAAAUAUGUUUAUUCUAAGAGGAUACAGGUGUGGCUACUACUACUGUGUACCAAAGAUAUUCUUUAAAAAAUGAAUCCUGUUUAUGCUAUUUGUUUGAAGCAGUAAUUAGACUGGCAUCCAGUUUGAAUGAUAACCACUGCUUUCUUCACACAGAUUUUCUAAGUUUGUGAGACCAGUUCUCAAAAGCUCUUUAGCAAAGUUCUUAUGUUGCUAGCAUCACUCCCUCAGAGGAAACUGGUAAAAGGGUGAGUUCUGGUUUUCAGUACCUUCUCCAGAUUGGGCUUCAAAAAUAAAAGUCAGCUUUUUUAAACGUGAUCUUUCAUAAUUAUGGUUGAAAAUGAUGUGUUUGCCAAGUGCUGAACAGCCUUGAAAACUGGGUCUGAUGUGUUCAAGGUAAAACUAAAGGUUUAAGCCUGUAGUAUACUUCACACUUAGAAACUUUUUGCGUAUGCUCACAAUUGAAACUUAUGUUUUCCUUUUUAAAGAAAGAAUAAGUGAUACUUCUUUCACUAUUGAUACAGUUUUGUAACUCAGUGUUUUGAAUUUUCUAUUUCAGAUUUUCCCAGGAUAAAGUUGUCUCUGCAGGUGCCCCAGACUCUGCCAAAUGAUUGGCUUUCUAUCCAGCUCAGUCAUUUACUUCUGUUGCAUGUUUUAGACAUCCUUUUUUGCAUCUUAAGACAUCCAAAAUUUUCCACCUUUACACAUCCAUUACUCCAUCUUAACUUCAAUUCCAUGUUUUUUCUUCUGCAGGCUUAUAAAAAAAACCCCCACACUUUGACUGAAAGGAAAGCACAUGUAUCAGAACAGACUUUUGGAUUUCUUUUACUUCAAACACACACAGCAUCAUGUCCCAGAUGGCUUAAUACUGAAGACCACUUUAGAAAGUCAUUUGUAUGGACAUAUGAACAUGCUUCAUAUCAGGCAUCAAGAAAGGUACAACUGAAGAGCUCUGAUACUGUAAAGAAAUCCACUUAAAAGUGAAGAAAUACAGGAAUGUCUUUAGUCAUCCACUGGACAGUCCUUCAUUUAGUGUACAAGAUCUUCAGCAUUCUCGAAUAAUGGGCAUAAGGAAUGAAAGAUCCUGAGCCCAAAGGACAGCAAAUAAUUGCUCCGCAGACAAGAUGGACUGCUUCCUCAUGAGGUGUUGUAAAGGAACAGCUUCUCUCCAUUCGGUACAGUGAUGUUUGUCCUUGUCAGGAUGGUAGUCUGUUCCCAGGACUACCAAGCAAAACUACAGCUGAAUGAACAGCAUUAUAAGCUUUUCAUGUCAUCGUAGUCCAGAAGGAAGCACUGAUUCUCCAGCCUGACCUUUUGCCCACUGUGGGUGAUAGAACUAACUCAAGUGAUUUCUGCGUAAUUUCUGGGGGACCUACAACACUUCCUUUGGAAAAAAAUUCACCUUCUCUGAUUAAAGAUUUCACGUGACAAGCAAUACUUCACAAGCCUUUUUUAAUCCAGAAAUGUCUCUUAUCUCAGCUUUCAAAAAUUGCAUCUUUUAAAAGGUUUGUCUGCUAAACUGAAGAUUACUAUGAUGACAACUGUUCUCCUUACUGAGGUGAUUUCACAUUCUUUAGCUCUUGUGUGAUUCAGAGAUGGGCUAGAGAUAAGGGUUUUAAAGUCUCUUCAGUAAGGGCAGUUUCUAGAUAUGUCUGUUUAACCACUUCCUGUUUGCCAGCUUUUGCACAGAUAUCAAACCAAGACAUGCUGUUCCACCAGUAGAAUCCUUACUUAGUACAUAGAUGGUGCUCCCACAUUUGUACACCCAAGGACUGCAUUUCUAUGUGCUCUUAAAUGCCUGUCUGUAUUGCUAUUCUUCAUUAUCACAGUUCUCCAUCAGAUAACUGAUCUACAUAUUUCAUUCCUAGAAAUAUUAGCUUGUAAUUAACUGUAUUAGUUUGCACAUUGUUCACAUUAGCUUAUCUUCCUUAAAAUUCUGUUAACACUGCAGAAUCUAUCCUUAUUAUGUACCACUUGACGACUUCUGUCUGUUAUGUAUUAGCUUAUAAAUUUUGAAACUAAUAAAUGCUUCUUAUUAAUGCU